rnacentral:rRNA from 1 species
CGGGGUGAGUGACGCGUGGGUAACCUGCCUUGUACUGGGGGACAACAGUUAGAAAUGACUGCUAAUACCGCAUAAGCGCACAGUAUCGCAUGAUACAGUGUGAAAAACUCCGGUGGUACAAGAUGGACCCGCGUCUGAUUAGCUAGUUGGUAAGGUAACGGCUUACCAAGGCGACGAUCAGUAGCCGACCUGAGAGGGUGACCGGCCACAUUGGGACUGAGACACGGCCCAA